AUUGAAUCAAAUCAACAAAAUGCAUCGUGUAAUCAAGUUUGGUUUGGUCCUCACGUUGAUCAUCCUCACAUCUGCAAGUAUCGGUGCAGCCGGUGCCAGAGGAGGCGGGACAAGGGGUUUAGGCUUCGGAAAACAAAUACGACUCUUCAUCUGAUACAGUAAUGUCACUCAGGAGAUGAAGACAAGAUCAGCAGGCAGAGGGAGGAGCUUCUCUCUCUUGUAGAGACUGUUUUAGAGGAAAAUGGAGGCACUCCAUACACUCAUCAACUCUUUCAACAUAUGAAGGUUGAGUUAAGUGAUUUAGAGUAAUUCUUUCUUUUAAAAUAUACUCCAUUAUUUAGCUUGCUAUUCAAAAUAACUGUGCCAAAUAAGAUGAAUCUAAAUGUCAUAAUCAAAUAGAUUGUUUUUGUUGUGACAGAUUGAUGAAGCUGCCCAAGGGAAAUCUACUGAGAAUGAGAUCAAUGUUGGUGGUUUGGUUGAGAUGGUAAUGUUAAGUACUUCAAAUUAAUAUCUACUUCUAGUUUUGUAACAUGUACUAAUAUCUCUACUAGCGGCUGAAGGAGAGUAUUUCGAGUCUGGAGAAGGCGCACAUGUCGCGGCAGAAGGAGAGUGUUUCGAGUCUGGAUAAGUUGUGGGCUGAGGAGAUGGCUGCUCGCGUGGAGGCAGAUAUGGCAAAAACAGAGCAUGGGUUGAACGAAUUGAGAGAGCGACUGAGCCAAGCUACUCAUCGCAGCCGGGAGCUUCAAGAACAUAUCAAUGGCAACCCUGAUUGUGUGAUAUUGUAAUGUGAUCUUCAUUCAAUCAACACCGGGAGCUUUGGUUUUUGCUAUGUUAUUUUUAUACAUGGAACUUUCCUUAU